GAUGAACGCUGGCGGCGUGCCUAAUACAUGCAAGUCGAACGCAAACAUAAAAGUUUGAGUGGCGAACGGGUGAGUAAGACAUAGGUAACCUAGCUUAAAGAGGGGGAUAGCUACUGGAAACGGUAGGUAAAACCGCAUGGGUGUAGAGAUUGCAUGAUAGCUACAUGAAAGAUCCUAAGGGAUUACUAAAAGAUGGGCCUAUGACGCAUUAGCUAGUUGGAGAGGUAAAAGCUGACCAAGGCGACGAUGCGUAGCCGGACUGAGAGGUUGAACGGCCACACUGGGACUGAGACACGGCCCAGACUCCUACGGGAGGCAGCAGUAGGGAAUUUUCGGCAAUGGUGGGAACACUGACCGAGCAACGCCGCGUGAAGGAAGAAGGUAUUCGUAUCGUAAACUUCUGUGAUAGAGGGAUAAAAUAUAGUAUAGGGAAUGAUAGUAUAUUGAAGGUACUCUAAGAGGAAGCCACGGCUAACUACGUGCCAGCCGCCGCGGUAACAC
rnacentral:rRNA from 1 species